CCUACGGGAGGCAGCAGUGAGGAAUAUUGGUCAAUGGGCGUAAGCCUGAACCAGCCAAGUCGCGUGAGGGCUGAAGGUUCUAUGGAUCGUAAACCUCUUUUAUAAGGGAAUAAAGUGUGGGACGUGUCCUAUUUUGUAUGUACCUUAUGAAUAAGGAUCGGCUAACUCCGUGCCAGCAGCAGCGGUAAUACGGAGGAUCCGAGCGUUAUCCGGAUUUAUUGGGUUUAAAGGGUGCGUAGGCGGCCUUUUAAGUCAGCGGUGAAAGUCUGUGGCGCAACCAUAGAAUGGCCGUUGAAACUGGGGGGCUUGAGUAUGUUUGAGGCAGGCGGAAUGCGUGGUGUAGCGGUGAAAUGCUUAGAUAUCACGCAAAACCCCGAUUGCGAAGGCAGCCUGCCAAGCCAUGACUGACGCUGAUGCACGAAAGCGUGGGGAUCAAACAGGAUUAGAUACCCUGGUAGUC
rnacentral:rRNA from 1 species